rnacentral:rRNA from 1 species
UACGAAGGGGGCUAGCGUUGUUCGGAAUUACUGGGCGUAAAGCGCACGUAGGCGGAUUUGUAAGUCAGGGGUGAAAUCCCGGGGCUCAACCUCGGAACUGCCUUUGAUACUGCAAAUCUCGAGUCCGGAAGAGGUGAGUGGAAUUCCUAGUGUAGAGGUGAAAUUCGUAGAUAUUAGGAAGAACACCAGUGGCGAAGGCGGCUCACUGGUCCGGUACUGACGCUGAGGCGCGAAAGCGUGGGGAGCAAACAGG